rnacentral:rRNA from 1 species
UACGUAGGUGGCAAGCGUUACUCGGAAUCACUAGGCGUAAAGCGCAGGUAGGCGGUUUGGUAAGUCUUUUGUGAAAGCUCCUGGCUCAACUGGGAGAGGUCAAAGGAAACUACCAGGCUAGAGUGUGGUAGGGGAUACUGGAAUUCCUGGUGUAGCGGUGAAAUGCGUAGAUAUCAGGAGGAACACCGGUGGCGAAGGCGGGGCUCUGGGCCGAGACUGACGCUGAGGAGCGAAAGCGUGGGGAGCGAACAGG